rnacentral:lncRNA from 1 species
UGCUUGAUCUAAGAAGGACUGUAUUUGAAGUUCACUAACAAUCUACUAAUGUAAAAUGAGAAAGUAGCCGAGUGCAGUGGUGCAUGCCUGUAAUCCCAGCAGUUUGGGAGGCUGAAGCAGGAGGUUCGCAAGUUCAAAGCCAGCCUCAGCAACAGUGAGGCACUAAGCAACUCAGUGAGACCCUGUCUCUAAAUAAAAUACAAAAUAGGGCUGGGGAUAUGGCUCAGUGGUCAAGUGCCCCUGAGUUCAAAAGGAAGCAAAACAAAUAAAAUGACUGAAAAAUAUCUAAACCUGCAUGUGGUAACACGUGAUAAUUCCAGCUACUUGGCUGUGACAGGAGGAUUUUGAGUUCUAGGCCUGACUAGGUAACAUAACAGGGCCCUAUCUCAAAAAAAAAAGUUAAAAAAAGAAAAAUAUCUAUGCAUGUUUUACUAUCUCAACUUACCUGUUCACUUGUGGGUACCAAAAGCUUGGUUCAAAGGUGGUAAUGUUAAAGCUUUGGAAUGACGAAAUAGGGCAAGCUAUCUAACCCAAACUUGAU